rnacentral:lncRNA from 11 species
CUAAUAUUGAGACUCCAUUAAUUUAGAGAAAAGGCAAGGCAUUCAGGCGGCCUUGUUGAUUUUGCUUUGCUUCCUUGUGCUGGAAAGGAAACUGACUUUGGGAUCCUUCCAAGAUUGAUGAAAAAGUAUGGGGAGGCUUCUCUCAUGUCCCCACAUGGAGCUGGAGCUGGAGCUCAUAGAGCGAGUUCAUCUGCACUCUCCC